AGCCUCCUGGCGCUUACCACAGGCUGUGUUCUUACACUGACUAUAUAAGAUGAGAAGACAGAAUAAACCUACCCUACAUACACCUUAGUUCAGGCCUUGUGCAUCAUCUAUAGUGUGAAUGGGGAGAUGGGG
rnacentral:snoRNA from 1 species